rnacentral:rRNA from 1 species
ACGGAAGGCAGCAGUGGGGAAUAUUGCACAAUGGGGGAAACCCUGAUGCAGCAACGCCGCGUGAGGGAAGAAGGUUUUCGGAUUGUAAACCUCUGUCUUCGGUGACGAAAAGGACGGUAGCCGAAGAGGAAGCCACGGCUAACUACGUGCCAGCAGCCGCGGUAAUACGUAGGUGGCAAGCGUUGUCCGGAAUUACUGGGUGUAAAGGGAGCGUAGGCGGGAAAGCAAGUCAGAUGUGAAAUCCACAGGCUUAACUUGUGACGUGCAUUUGAAACUGUUUUUCUUGAGUGAAGUAGAGGCAGGCGGAAUUCCGAGUGUAGCGGUGAAAUGCGUAGAUAUUCGGAGGAACACCAGUGGCGAAGGCGGCCUGCUGGGCUUUUACUGACGCUGAGGCUCGAAAGCAUGGGUAGCAAACAGGAUUAGAUACCCUGGUA